UACGUAGGGGGCAAGCGUUGUCCGGAAUCAUUGGGCGUAAAGCGCGUGUAGGCGGCUCGAUAAGUCUGCUGUGAAAGUCCAGGGCUCAACCCUGGAAGGCCGGUGGAAACUGUCGGGCUAGAGUCCGGAAGAGGCGAGUGGAAUUCCCGGUGUAGCGGUGAAAUGCGCAGAUAUCAGGAGGAACACCAAUGGCGAAGGCAGCUCGCUGGGACGUGACUGACGCUGAGACGCGAAAGCGUGGGGAGCAAACAGG
rnacentral:rRNA from 1 species